rnacentral:rRNA from 1 species
UACGGGGGGGGUAAGCGUUGUUCGGAAUUACUGGGCGUAAAGGGCUCGUAGGCGGCCAACUAAGUCAUACGUGAAAUCCCUCAGCUUAACUGGGGAACUGCGUGUGAUACUGGAUGGCUUGGAUUCGGGAGAGGGAUGCGGAAUUCCAGGUGUAGCGGUGAAAUGCGUAGAUAUCUGGAGGAACACCGGUGGCGAAGGCGGCAUCCUGGACCAACACUGACACUGAGGAGCGAAAGCCAGGGGAGCAAACGGG